CCUGGUUGAUCCUGCCAGUAGUGAUAUGCUUGUCUCAAAGAUUAAGCCAUGCAUGUAUAAGUACAAGCCAGAACAAGGUGAAACCGCGAAUGGCUCAUUAAAUCAGUCAUCAUUCACUGGCUGAGACUGUGAUACAUGGAUAACUGUGGUAAUUCUAGAGCUAAUACAUGCAACCGAGCCGCUUUUCGAUCUCUCGGGAUCGAUGGUGGUACUUUUAUUGGCUGAAAACCGAUGAUCACUCUCUCACGGGGGUGGUCUUCAUUUGUUGAAUCACAAUAACAUUGUGUGGAUCGUACGGUCUCGCACCGACGACGUGCCUUUCAAAUGUCUGCCCUAUCAGCUCUCGACGGUUAGCUAGUGGCUGACCGUGGCUGUGACGGGUAACGGGGAAUCUGGGUUCGAUUCCGGAGAGGGAGCCUGAGAAACGGCUACCACAUCUAAGGAAGGCAGCAGGCGCGAAAAUUACCCAAUCCCAGUUCAGGGAGGUAGUGACAAUAAAUACCUUACAGAGGUGCCGUUCAGCGGUAUCUCUCAAACGGAAUGAGUACAAUGUGAAUCCUUUAACGAGGAGCAACUGGAGGGCAAGCCUGGUGCCAGCAGCCGCGGUAAUUCCAGCUCCAGUAGCGUAUAUUAAAGCUGUUGCGGUUAAAAAGCUCGUAGUUGGAUAUCAGUGCGUGUCCACGUCCGGUAUGCGCGUUCAUCGGUGUCGUGUAACAGCGCACCGGUGGCGUGCUCUAAAUAUCGGCUGGCCGCAUUCAAAAGUGUCGGAUCCGUUGUCGGGCCGUUCCGUUUCGGAGGGGCCUGUCGGCGACCGGCGAUAUUACCUUGAACAAAUUAGAGUGCUUAAAGCAGGCGAUGUUUGCCUGAAUACAUAUUCAUGGAAUUGGAGAAUACGUCCCUGACUCAAUUUGGUUGGUUUUGUGAGUCGAAGGGAAAUGAUUAAUAGGGACUGACGGAGGCAUUCGUAUUGCAGCGCGAGGGGUGAAAUCCUAGGACCGUUGCACGACGAACUACUGCGAAAGCAUUUGCCGAGAAUGUUUUCAUUAGUCAAGAACGAAAGUUAGAGGUUCGAAGGCGAUCAGAUACCGCCCUAGUUCUAACCGUAAACGAUGUCAACCAGCAAUCCGCAAUAGUCCUUGUAUCGACUGUGCGGGCAGCCUUCGGAGAAAUCAGAGUUUUCAGACUCCGGGGAGAGUACGGUUACAAAACAGAAAUUUAAAGGAAUUGACGGAAGGGCACCACCAGGAGUGGAGCUUGCGGCUUAAUUUGACUCAACACGGGACAACUCACCAGGCCCGGACACUGUAAGGAUUGACAGACUGAGAGCUCUCUCAUGAUUCAGUGGGUGGUGGUGCAUGGCCGUUCUUAGUUGGUGGAUUGAUUUGUCUGGUUUAUUCCGAUAACGAACGAGACUCUGGCCUACUAAAUUUGAAAUCACUUGUACUUUGGUACAUUGAUUCGCUUCUUAGAGGGAUUAUCGGCAUCUAGUCGAAAGAAAGAGAGCAAUAACAGGUCUGUGAUGCCCUUAGAUGUUCUGGGCUGCCCGCGUGUUACACUGAAGUGGUCAACGCGCUACGUUUACGUCCCUCUCCGAGAGGAGCGGGCAAACGUUUGAACCCAUUUCGUGAUGGGGAUUGAGGGUUGCAAUUAUCCCUCAUGAACGAGGAAUUCCAAGUAAGCACAGGUCACUAGCCUGUGUUGAUUAAGUCCCUGCCCUUUGUACACACCGCCCGUCGCUACUACCGAUGGAUGAUUUGGUGAGGUCGCCUAGACUGGUCGCUGGCUUCGGCCGUGCGUCCGGAAAGACGCCCAAACUUGAUCGUCUAGAGGAAGUAAAAGUCGUAACAAGGUUUCCGUAAGUGAACCUGCGGAAGGAUCAUUA
rnacentral:rRNA from 1 species